rnacentral:rRNA from 1 species
AGUGAACGCUGGCGGUAGGCCUAACACAUGCAAGUCGAACGGCAGCACAGUAAGAGCUUGCUCUUACGGGUGGCGAGUGGCGGACGGGUGAGGAGUACAUCGGAAUCUACUUUUUCGUGGGGGAUAACGUAGGGAAACUUACGCUAAUACCGCAUACGACCUACGGGUGAAAGCAGGGGAGCUUCGGACCUUGGGCGAUGGAAUGAGCCGAUGUCGGAUGAGCUAGUUGGCGGGGUAAAGGCCCACCAAGGCGACGAUCCGUAGCUGGUCUGAGAGGAGGAUCAGCCACACUGGUACUGAGACACGGUCCAGACUCCUACGGGAGGCAGCAGUGGGGAAUAUUGGACAAUGGGCGCAAGCCUGAUCCAGCCAUACCGCGUGGGUGAAGAAGGCCUUCGGGUUGUAAAGCCCUUUUGUUGGGAAAGAAAAGCAGCAGGUUAAUACCCCGCUGUUCUGACGGUACCCAAAGAAUAAGCACCGGCUAACUUCGUG